rnacentral:miRNA from 1 species
GCAGACACAUUCCAGCCAAUCAGCAGCAGACCCUCCCUCCCAGACCCUCCCACCUCCUGGACAGCAUCCAUUUUACAUCCAUUGUGAAGCUGCAUUCUUAGUGAGCUGUCCAGGAGGUGGGAGGGUCUGGGAGGGAGGGUCUGCUGCUGAUUGGCUGAAAUGUGUCUG